UGCCGCGUGCAGGAUGAAGGCCUUCGGGUUGUAAACUGCUUUUGUACGGAACGAAAAAGCUUCUCCUAAUACGAGAGGCCCAUGACGGUACCGUAAGAAUAAGCACCGGCUAACUACGUGCCAGCAGCCGCGGUAAUACGUAGGGUGCGAGCGUUAAUCGGAAUUACUGGGCGUAAAGCGUGCGCAGGCGGUUAUGUAAGACAGAUGUGAAAUCCCCGGGCUCAACCUGGGAACUGCAUUUGUGACUGCAUGGCUAGAGUACGGUAGAGGGGGAUGGAAUUCCGCGUGUAGCAGUGAAAUGCGUAGAUAUGCGGAGGAACACCGAUGGCGAAGGCAAUCCCCUGGACCUGUACUGACGCUCAUGCACGAAAGCGUGGGGAGCAAACAGGAUUAGAUACCCUGGUAGUCCACNCCCUAAACGAUGUCAACUGGUUGUUGGGAAUUAGUUUUCUCAGUAACGAAGCUAACGCGUGAAGUUGACCGCCUGGGGAGUACGGCCGCAAGGUUGAAACUCAAAG
rnacentral:rRNA from 1 species